rnacentral:rRNA from 1 species
GAUGAACGCUGGCGGCGUGCCUAAUACAUGCAAGUCGAGCGAAUGGAUUAAGAGCUUGCUCUUAUGAAGUUAGCGGCGGACGGGUGAGUAACACGUGGAUAACCUGCCCAUAAGACUGGGAUAACUCCGGGAAACCGGGGCUAAUACCGGAUAAUAUUUUGAACUGCAUGGUUCAAAAUUGAAAGGCGGCUUCGGCUGUCACUUAUGGAUGGACCCGCGUCGCAUUGGCUAGUUGGUGAGGUAACGGCUCACCAAGGCAACGAUGCGUAGCCGACCUGAGAGGGUGAUCGGCCACACUGGGACUGAGACACGGCCCAGACUCCUACGGGAGGCAGCAGUAGGGAAUCUUCCGCAAUGGACGAAAGUCUGACGGAGCAACGCCGCGUGAGUGAUGAAGGCUUUCGGGUCGUAAAACUCUGUUGUUAGGGAAGAACAAGUGCUAGUUGAAUAAGCUGGCACCUUGACGGUACCUAACCAGAAAGCCACGGCUAACUACGUGCCAGCCGCCGCCGUAA